CCGGUUUGGAUGCCUCUUCCGUGUGUUUCCAGGCCGAGUGGCCGGAUUGAAGUGCUGGUCGUGCCUAGCCGCCAUAGUUCCUACAUACUUCAGGCGUUUUCGAGGAGAUCGAGCUCCACCCCGAUGUUUGGCUCCAGCGAGAAGUAGUGGUGGGCGGCCCGCCGACCGAGGCAAGGUGGCCUCCAGUUCCUCUUCCAUUGCCCCUCCCGGCCUGUCUAUCGUGCCUAUCUGAACCGUCGUUGUUGAUCGCCGGAUGAUUUGGGGCUACGGGCUGCGGAGGUUCUAAGAGUUAUGUUCAUGGAUCGAGAGUUUCUAAUGUGUGGCUUUUCAGCUCUCAGAUGCAGUACAUUCAGCUAAGAAGUAUGGUAAUGGAGAAAGCUUCAAAUGGAUUUGAUGCCAAUAUUAUUCUUGCUAGCGCUAUCUUGCGUUUGCUAUCGGUGGUGCAGCUGCUGCUUCCUGUUGUGGAUGUACUUCCUGGACAAAGUUCCACACAUGAAUUGCAGCGUCC